rnacentral:rRNA from 1 species
GUUAAGAAUCUUGCACAAUGGGCGAAAGCCUGAUGCAGCGACGCCGCGUGAGCGAUGAAGGCCUUCGGGUUGUAAAGCUCUUUUCUGGGAGAAGAAACGGAUGGUUAAUAGCCAUCAACUGACUGUACCCCAGGAAUAAGCCUCGGCUAAUUACGUGCCAGCAGCCGCGGUAAUACGUAAGAGGCUAGCGUUGUCCGGAAUCACUGGGCGUAAAGCGCGUGUAGGUGGCUUGAUAAGUCGGAUGUGAAAUCCCCGGGCUCAACCCGGGAACUGCGUCCGAAACUGUCUGGCUGGAGAACAGGAGAGGAGAGUGGAAUUCCGGGUGUAGCGGUGAAAUGCGUAGAUAUCCGGAGGAACACCAGUGGCGAAGGCGGCUCUCUGGCCUGUUUCUGACACUGAGACGCGAAAGCGUGGGGAGCGAACGGGAUUAGAUACCCCAGUAGUCC